UUUAACAAAGAUCUAAAAGAUGGACCUUUCCUUCUUCUGUAUCCGGAUGGCACUGAGGUCAUUACUGUCCCUGGAACACAAAGACCAUUUACACUUGAGGCUUAUAAGGCUGAAGUUGGCAAGCCUUAUCAAAGAAUCAAUGUUUUCAUCUGCUUGAAGAGUGACUUUGAAGAUGUUGGAGAAAACUCAGACUUGUCUGACUCUGACCCAGAGAUUGUUAUUAAAAGGCCCUCUGAGUUUGAUCUUGCUGAUACAUUGCCAUGGGAACUUCAACAUGAAAGCAGUCCUUUACAGAAAGCAGCAGAAUAUGAAGACACCAAUUUGCAGGCACAUGGAAUUAUUGCAAAUUUGGCACUGGAACUUGACCACAAGAAGGUCAGCAGGUUCAAUAUAUCAAGGUCAGCUGUAUGGGAUGGAGCUGUUAGAGGAUUUCGACGCAGCACAUACUCUGACAACUACGACAUGUUCAUCAAGUUUAAUGAUGAUGCUGGCAGCUUUGAAGAAGG
ensembl:lncRNA